rfam:Ictidomys tridecemlineatus contig043303, whole genome shotgun sequence.
UGGGUUGUGGCUCAGUGAUAGAGCUCUUGCCUUGCAUGCAUGAGGUACUGGGAACAAUCCUCAGCACCAUAU